GUCCACGCCGUAAACGAUGUGUGCUAGACGUUGGGGAGCCUAGCUCUUCGGUGUCGCAGCUAACGCGAUAAGCACACCGCCUGGGGAGUACGGCCGCAAGGUUAAAACUCAAAGGAAUUGACGGGGGCCCGCACAAGCGGUGGAGCAUGUGGUUUAAUUCGACGCAACGCGAAGAACCUUACCAGCCCUUGACAUGUCCCGUAUGGGUGGGGAGACCCCAUUCUUCAGUUCGGCUGGCGGGAACACAGGUGCUGCAUGGCUGUCGU
rnacentral:rRNA from 1 species